UAGGGAAUCUUCCACAAUGGGCGAAAGCCUGAUGGAGCAACGCCGCGUGUGUGAUGAAGGGUUUCGGCUCGUAAAACACUGUUGUAAGAGAAGAAUGACAUUGAGAGUAACUGUUCAAUGUGUGACGGUAUCUUACCAGAAAGGAACGGCUAAAUACGUGCCAGCAGCCGCGGUAAUACGUAUGUUCCAAGCGUUAUCCGGAUUUAUUGGGCGUAAAGCGAGCGCAGACGGUUAUUUAAGUCUGAAGUGAAAGCCCUCAGCUCAACUGAGGAAUUGCUUUGGAAACUGGAUGACUUGAGUGCAGUAGAGGAAAGUGGAACUCCAUGUGUAGCGGUGAAAUGCGUAGAUAUAUGGAAGAACACCAGUGGCGAAGGCGGCUUUCUGGACUGUAACUGACGUUGAGGCUCGAAAGUGUGGGUAGCAAACAGG
rnacentral:rRNA from 8 species